UACGUAGGGUGCAAGCGUUUGUCGGGAAUUAUUGGGCGUAAAGAGCUCGUAGGCGGUUUGUCGCGUCUGCUGUGAAACCCGAGGCUCAACCUCGGGCCUGCAGUGGGUACGGGCAGACUAGAGUGCGGUAGGGGAGAUUGGAAUUCCUGGUGUAGCGGUGGAAUGCGCAGAUAUCAGGAGGAACACCGAUGGCGAAGGCAGAUCUCUGGGCCGUAACUGACGCUGAGGAGCGAAAGCAUGGGGAGCGAACAGG
rnacentral:rRNA from 1 species